GAUGAACGCUGGCGGCGUGCCUAAUACAUGCAAGUCGAGCGAACAGACGAGGAGCUUGCUCCUCUGACGUUAGCGGCGGACGGGUGAGUAACACGUGGAUAACCUACCUAUAAGACUGGGAUAACUUCGGGAAACUGGAGCUAAUACCGGAUAAUAUAUUGAACCGCAUGGUUCAAUAGUGAAAGACGGUUUUGCUGUCACUUAUAGAUGGAUCCGCGCCGCAUUAGCUAGUUGGUAAGGUAAAGGCUUACCAAGGCGACGAUGCGUAGCCGACCUGAGAGGCUGAUCGCCCACACUGGAACUGAGACACCGUCCUGACUCCUACGGGAGGCAGCAGUAGGCAAUCUUCCGCAAUGGGCGAAAGCCUGACGGAGCAACGCCGCGUGAGUGAUGAAGGUCUUCGGAUCGUAAAACUCUGUUAUUAGGGAAGAACAAAUGUGUAAGUAACUAUGCACGUCUUGACGGUACCUAAUCAGAAAGCCACGGCUAACUACGUG
rnacentral:rRNA from 1 species